rnacentral:lncRNA from 1 species
CAUCAGUUCCUCUCUUCAUCAUCGCUUUCUUUUCCUGCAACCAAUAAAUCCCAUGUUAGCUUGUAGCUACAAAUCUUCAUUCCAGACAUAAAGAUGAACAAAAAGAAUUGAUAUUUAAUUAUGAACAAACAAAAGACCCUUUAUCGGUUUGAUAAAACGUUUGAAAACUGAUAACUCAAAUUGCAUUCAAAUAGACAUAUGUUCAACAUCCAAAGCUGCAACAAAUGAAAAAAGAUCACAAAAAAACCAUUUACAGGGUUAGUAAAUAAAACCAGAUCGACAAAUCAACAUACAAACACACCCCAACACACACCGUUAAACCAACAUCAAUCUUAUCGAAGGAUAGAAAGACAAACCUUGAUGAUGUGGAAAUUCGUUUAGGGGUUUUAUGGAGAGAAAAAAAAAAAGGAUUGCGGGUGGAUUUGGUGUGCAGUCGAAAACAGGAAGAUCGUGGACCAAAUUUAUGGAAUACUCCUUAACGCCAAUCAAUACAACAAAAAAAUACCUUUAGGUUUAGUACCCAGGCUUUCUUUUCUUUCCUUAGUGUCCUCUUAACCUCAAAUCACAAUAGCCAAAAAAAAAUAUAAAGAAACACAUGUACACAUAAAACACAUUGAAACACACAAACACGUCUAAAGUUAGAGAGAGAGAGAGAGAGAGAGAGAGAGAGAGAGAGAGAGAGAGAGAGANGAGAGAGAGAGAGAGACUUCGGUGGUGCGAAGAUGGUGCAGUGGAUCCAUAUCCAUGACUAAAAACAUGUAAAAAGAAAAUAAGAAUAUGAAUUACUUCCAGUGACAAUAAAAUGACGACGGGAACAAAAACUUCAAAAUUACUAACCCAAAAAUAAAGAUGAUAAAUCGGAUCAACAUACAUUCUCAAACAGUGGUGGUGAAUGUCGUUAGUAAGGGAAAGGAAGGUGGAGGGGAAAUAGUUCUGACGACGGUGAUUAGUGGUGAGAAAGGGUUUCUAGAUCCAAUCUACAGUGGUGAAGGUCGUGGAGGCGAUAAAGAGUUGUGGUAGAAGGCGAAAGGAGACAGAGCCAAUGUGGUGGUGGUAGGAAUUCCAUAGUUGGGGUUUCUUUGACUGAUAGAGAGAUAGAGAGAAUGAAUCCAAAUAUAAAUCAUAUUUAGUGUUGUGUUGACCAAUUCAAUAGCCUGAAGACAAG